AAUCUAAAAACUUCAUUAUCCCUCGGCCCUCUCACCUUCACUCCGUAUCCUUCAAGUUUUUCAGAUAACCCUAACUCUUGAAGCCAUAAUCCAAUCUCAGCCCUCUCGAUGCAGUCACCCACUUCGUAUUCGCCGUCAUACUAAGCCUAUCGCUGCCGCAUCACUGUUUCCAUCACCUCACUCUCAACCCUAGCUCUCGAACUCGCCACCCACUCUAAAUCCUCUCAAAAUUGUCACCCACUCCAUCCUCACCGUUAAGCUCUGUUGUUUCCCUCACCUCACUCACUCUCGCGCCCUCACGUUUCCACUACAAAAACUUGAAGAUUGUGGCACAUAACUUGCGACUCGAGAAAGAGAAAACCGAAGAGCUCUUGAAAGCCAAAAACGAGAUCUUGAAACAAAAGGAUGAAUCACAUGAAAAUCGUGGCAAGGAGCAAGAGAAACUUCAGAUUGAGUUUAAGAAAUUACAAAAAUUGAAGGAAUUCAAACCCACCAUGGUGUCUUAUUUAGGGUUUUGUCCAAAUAAUUAUCAGACAUGAACAAUGAGGUGCCUUCCCUUCAUAGUGUUGCAAUGACUAUAACUCAUUGAACAUUAAGAAAAUGGACUUGGAUUAUCACACAUAGACUUAGGCAUUGUAGCCGUAGUACCUAUGCAUUCGCAUCGCAGCGCGUUGGAAUUAAUGAUAAUGGUUCAAGGUUUUAUAACUGCUGGUUUUAUUUCCUCUGAUAACUCUGUUUUUGUUAAGACACUAACAAAGGGGGAUAUUAUGGUAAUUCCACAAGGUUUGUUGCAUUUUCAUUGUAAUGUUGGGUGGAAUAAAGCUACUGCUUUUCUUACACUUAGUAGUUCAAACCUGGUGCACAACUUGUUGAUUUUGCUUUGUUUGGAAAUAGUAUGAAUUCGAGUUAUGUUGAAAAGACUACUUUGUAUGAUCAUGCUCAAGUUAAAAAACUUAAGGCUAUUUUUGGAGGGAGUGGCUGGCUAGGUUUAAUUGUUUUGAGUUUUCUUGUUUUAUGUCCAAACCAUUAUUAUAUUCUUUAUGAUUGUAAGGUUUGGUAUUUGUUAAGUCAUUCAAUUCCAUCAAUAAAAUUUGUGUUUCUUUUUUUGCAAUUAA